rnacentral:rRNA from 1 species
GAUGAACGCUAGCUACAGGCUUAACACAUGCAAGUCGAGGGGCAGCAUGGUCUUAGCUUGCUAAGGCCGAUGGCGACCGGCGCACGGGUGAGUAACGCGUAUCCAACCUGCCUUACACUCUUGGACAGCCUUCUGAAAGGGAGAUUAAUACAAGAUGUUAUCAUGAGUAAGCAUUUUCGCAUGAUUAAAGGUUUACCGGUGUAAGAUGGGGAUGCGUUCCAUUAGAUAGUAGGCGGGGUAACGGCCCACCUAGUCUUCGAUGGAUAGGGGUUCUGAGAGGAAGAUCCCCCACAUUGGAACUGAGACACGGUCCAAACUCCUACGGGAGGCAGCAGUGAGGAAUACUGGUCAAUGGGCGAGAGCCUGAACCAGCCAAGUAGCGUGAGGGAUGAAGGCUC